rnacentral:lncRNA from 1 species
GGGUUGGACUGAGUAAAGGCAGGUCUAUUUGAGUUUGACCCUUAUGACCAAGAAAAAUUGGGAUGGUUUCUCCAUCUUGGGUUGUAGGUUGGUGCAUAGAGGUCAUUAAUAAGUCUCUGAUAGGUUGCGUUCACCUAUGCUACUUCAUUCUCGAUUGAGCCCAUCAAGAAAGGACAUCCUUCUAUUGUGUGGUCUAUGAUAUUACACCUAUUACAAGUGGAUGUUGAAAUUUGGUUCGCUUGGGUGUGUCCCUUAAGUUCUAGGGCCUCUAUCCUAUAGAUCAAAGAUGCA